UUCCGGUUGAUCCUGCCGGAGGCCAUUGCUAUCGGAGUCCGAUUUAGCCAUGCUAGUCGAACGAGUUCACACUCGUGGCGGAAAGCUCAGUGACACGUGGCCAAACUACCCUGUGGACGGCGAUAACUUCGGGAAACUGAAGCUAAUCGCCGGUACGGCUCUCACGCUGGAACGCGGAGAGCUGGAAACGCUCUGGCGCCACAGGAUGUGGCUGCGGCCGAUUAGGUAGACGGUGGGGUAACGGCCCACCGUGCCGAUAAUCGGUACGGGUCAUGAGAGUGAGAGCCUGGAGACGGUAUCUGAGACAAGAUACCGGGCCCUACGGGGCGCAGCAGGCGCGAAACCUUUACACUGCACGCCAGUGCGAUAAGGGGACUCCGAGUGCGAGGGCAUACAGUCCUCGCUUUUCUGUACCGUAGGGUGGUACAGGAACAAGUGCUGGGCAAGACCGGUGCCAGCCGCCGCGGUAAUACCGGCAGCACGAGUGAUGGCCGAUAUUA
rnacentral:rRNA from 1 species